rnacentral:lncRNA from 1 species
GAUACUAAAUAGAAUCACCUUAAAUCCAAAAACUUGUAUUCAUGAGAAUAAGAUCAAAACAGAUAUCCAUACAUAAAGGCAUUUCCGACAACCAAAUAAACAUGUCAUGACUAAAAAAGGAUUUGGCAACAUGUUUCUUCAAAAUAAACUCCAGAUAACAUCCAACCAUAGAAUUCUGGACAUGCAAGAUAAACACGUCACAUUUUGCAUUAUAAAUUAAGAAAGAUCCUCGAAGUACCAUCAACUCUAUAGCUAAACGAAGAACCAUUACCCAAAAGGGAAACAAAGAAACUAUAGAGCAAAGACACGGGGACAAAAGUGUCAACUAAACGCCACAGGUUCUUUGGAACAUAUAUGUUUCUAUGUACGUAUAUAUAUGUAGCAGCAGUCAAACCCCAGCAGCAAUGACAGUCAAUUCAGUUCAUGGACUACGAGGAGAAAGAGCUCGGACUGGUGUCUUUGACGGACUUACCCUGCAUAGUGCGCAUACCAGACAUAAGAAUGGUUCAUAAUUCAGAUGGUAUUAUAAGAGUUCCAUGAAGGACAAAUAAAAUCAAAGAUAGGCAGCGCACCCAAAAUCACGCCACUGCAGCUUAGAGCAACAAUUGCUCUCAACCUGAAAGAAUGAAACAUUAGGAACUAGAGUCAUAAAGUUCAUAAUGCAAAAUCACUUCUAAUUGCAGUUGCAGAAUUAAAUUUAGGGACUAAGGGUCAUCAUCAAAAGAUUGAAUAUUCUUGAAUUAUCAACAAUGAAAAAAUCUGUAUCGCAUCAGUUAUCAAUAAUCGUAAGCUGAUAUGUUGGAAUGAAAAUUCCAAAAUCACUGUAGCAAACAAAAAAAAGUUAUCUUUCAAAAUAUUGGAACCAAAUUAGGUCUUGGGACAGAACCCAUUUGCAGAAGAUUGAAUGUGUAGUUAUUAGGCUCAUAUAUCAGUGACAAUUUGUAGUUCAAAUUUGCAUCAAGGGUCAUAAAGCGACAAUUUCAUGAAUAUAAUUUCAUCUGAAAAUUGCAUUAUAGCCGUCAAUUCAUAAUGCAUUUUACUCUUAGGGUCAUUGAGGCAUCCAUCCCUUACAAAAUUUAUGAAACAAAGUAUAUUCAUCGAUUCUAACAUUUAAAUUUGGGGUUUAGGGCCAUAUAUACUCCACCCCAUUUUUGGAUAAUGAAAAACAUUCCAAUUCACAAUGAUCCACAUUCUUUCAAACCAUUGAAUUUUCUUGAUAAUUUCACAUAAAUGAAAUGCAAACCGACAAUAAGUUGGACGGCUAACCCUUUUUGAAGGAAAAGGAAAAAGUAGUUUUCUUUCAAAAUAUUGGUUCCAAAAACUGACCUAACAAAAGUUAUUGGGACAAAACACUUUUGCUCAAAUAAGAUUUCUUUUUUUUCUUCUCUCAGUUUCAAACAGAAGAUUGAAUGUUUUUGAAUAUUAAAGAAUGAAAAAAAUGGGUAUUUGAAGAUGCAUCAAUGUAAAUUAAAAAAUUACCGUAUGAAGCAAGCAUGUUCUGAUGUUGCAAGUAAUAGAGAUGAUUGAGUGACCCAACAUUCACACAAUGCAACAUAGGUUCUGAUCAGUUUCAUACUUUGACACAGUGCAAUGAACAAGCCGGUUCUGAAUUCUCAUGAUGUUGCGAUGAACAUUCAUAGUUCAGAUUAUCAGUGACAAUUCAUAGGUCAGAUUUGCAACGAGGGUCAUAAAAGGACAAUAGACACCAUCCUUACGUCGUGAAUACAAUUUCAUAUCAAAAUUGCAUUAUAGGCACCAGUUCAUAAUGCAUGUUACUCUAGCGUCAUUGAGGCAUCCAUCCCUUAUAAAAUUUAUGAAACAAAGUAUAUUAAUCGAUCACAACGUUCAUAUUUGGGGUUUGGGACCAUAUACUCCGCUCCUUUUUUAGAAUGAUCCACAUUCUUUGAGAAGAUAUUGAAUAUUCUUGAAUUAUUAAGAAUGAAAAAAUCCAUAUCGCAUCAGGUAUAUCAAUCGUAAACCGAAAUAUUGGAAUGGAAAUUACAAAAUCACCAUAGCAAACCAAAAAAGUUAUCUCUCAUAUUGGAACCAAAUUAGGUGUUGGGACAGAGCACAUUUGCAGAAGAUUGAAUGAUCAAAAAUGGGUAUCCCAACAUGUAUAUCAAAACAAAUACAUAAAAUUAUUAUCUUUCAAAAGAUUAAUACUUCAAAUAAGUUUUUUUUUUCUUUUUCCCUCGGGCAGAAGAUUGAAAGUUCUUGAAUAAUCAAGAAUGAGGGAAAAAAAUAGGCAACAUUAUAUAUAGGCAAUAUUUCACCUCAGCGACAGUUUCACAAUUAGGGUCACAACAUGACACAAAAUACCAUGCAUGUUUUGAAUAAAAUUUCAUAUUAAAUUGCUUUGAAAGCCACCAUCCAACUUAUCAUUAUGAAUAAAGUGUUCAUAAUGCAAUUUACUCAAAGGGUCAUUGAGGCAUCCAUCCCUUACAAAACUUAUGAAACAUUAGGGACCAGAGUCAUUAAGUUCGAAUCAUGAAUUUAGGGACUAAGGGUCUUCCAAGUUCCAACCAUGCAUUAUGAAUAAAAAUUCAUAUUACAAUUGCAUUCAAGGCAACAACUAGCUUUCGCAUUAAGGCAUCAUCCAACAUUUUAAAGCAUCAAGACAUUCAAUCCAUUAUGAAAACCAUGUAACAAAGAAUAUUCAUCAAUGUAGUUCAGAUUUGCAUCGAGGGUCAUAAAGCGACAAUUUCAUGAAUACAAUUUCAUAUGAAAAUUACAUUAUAGCCAUUCAAUUCAUAAUGCAUUUUACUCUUAGGGUCAUUGAGGCAUCCAUCCAUAUUAAUCGAUUCCAAUAUUCAUAUUUGGGGUUUAGGGCCAUAUACAUACUCCACCCCUUUUUUAGAUAUGAAAAAGAAUCCAUCUCACAGUGAUCCAUAUUCUUGCAGAAGAUUGAAUAUUCUUGAAUUAUCAAGAAUGAAAAAAUCCAUAUCGCAUCAGGUAUCAAUCGUAAACCGAUAUAUUGGAAUUGAAAUUCCAAAAUCACCGUAGCAAACCAAAAAAGUUAUCUUUCAAAAUAUUGGAACCAAAUUAGGUCUUGGGACAGAACCCAUUUGCAGAAGAUUGAAUGUUCUUAAAUAAUCAAAAAAGAAAAAAAUUGAAUCUUUCAAAAAUUGGAACCAAAUUAGGUCUGGGGACAGAACCCAUUUGCAGAAGAUUGAAUGUUCUUGAAUAAUCAAAAAUGAAAAAAAUUGAAUCUUUGAAAACAUCGGUGCCAAACAUCUUUGCUCAAAUAAAGUUUUGAUUUUUUUUCUCAAGCAGAAGAUUGAAUGUUCUUGAAUAAUCAAGAAUGAGAAAAAAUAGACAAAUUUAUACGCAGAAGAUUGAAAGUUGUUGGAUAAUUAAAAAAAAAAAUAAUUACCGUUUGAAACAAGCAUGUUCUGAUGUUGCAAGUAAUAGAGAUGAAUGAGGGACCCAACAAUCACGCCAAUGCAACAUAGGUUCUUU